UGUUGAGUGACUUAUAUCUUGUAAGAAAAGUGAACAAUUCGUCGGGAAUUAUUUGCCUGUGAAACUGCAACUAAUACAAUAUUUGAGAUGAGCUUUUGCUUUUAUUUGUUCAUGACAAUAAACUUUAAAAACUAUUCCUAAGAUGGACAAAACUACCAUCGGCACAAAGUAACAUUCAUGAUCAUUUUUCUUACAAGAUAUAAGUCACUCAACA
rnacentral:misc_RNA from 1 species